rnacentral:tRNA from 1 species
GGGGAUAUACCAGAGUGGCCAAAUGGGGCAGACUGUAAAUCUGCUGGCGUACGCCUUCGGUGGUUCGAAUCCAUCUGUCCCCACAA